GGACCCGCACAAGCGGUGGAUGAUGUGGAUUAAUUCGAUGCAACGCGAAAAACCUUACCUACCCUUGACAUGGAAGGAAUCCCUGAGAGAUUGGGGAGUGCUCGAAAGAGAACCUUUACACAGGUGCUGCAUGGCUGUCGUCAGCUCGUGUCGUGAGAUGUUGGGUUAAGUCCCGCAACGAGCGCAACCCUUGUCAUUAGUUGCUACGAAAGGGCACUCUAAUGAGACUGCCGGUGACAAACCGGAGGAAGGUGGGGAUGACGUCAAGUCCUCAUGGCCCUUAUGGGUAGGGCUUCACACGUCAUACAAUGGUACAUACAGAGGGCCGCCAACCCGCGAGGGGGAGCUAAUCCCAGAAAGUGUAUCGUAGUCCGGAUUGUAGUCUGCAACUCGACUACAUGAAGUUGGAAUCGCUAGUAAUCGCGGAUCAGCAUGUCGCGGUGAAUACGUUCCCGGGUCUU
rnacentral:rRNA from 1 species